rnacentral:misc_RNA from 1 species
CGGGAUUCGUAAAAUCGAAGUGGAAGCGAAGAAGCUCAUGCAAGUCGAAGUGGCAGGCUUGCCCGGAGCCGUGAGCAUAAGAUGGCUCGUGGACUCCGUGGUCGUCAUAGUACCGUGUGACAGGAGUACCGAAGAACAAGCGCGAGAAGACGGUCGGAGGUUCGGCAACAUGGUAGAAAUUGAGCACGGCGCUUGCCAAGCCAAAGUUGUGGCCUGGAACACGAAAGAAACAUUCUUCCCAUCCACCAAUC